rnacentral:rRNA from 1 species
UCCCAAAGUCAUGGUUAAGUGGGAAACGAUGUGGGAAGGCCCAGACAGCCAGGAUGUUGGCUUAGAAGCAGCCAUCAUUUAAAGAAAGCGUAAUAGCUCACUGGUCGAGUCGGCCUGCGCGGAAGAUGUAACGGGGCUAAACCAUGCACCGAAGCUGCGGCAGCGACACUGUGUGUUGUUGGGUAGGGGAGCGUUCUGUAAGCCUGUGAAGGUGGCCUGUGAGGGUUGCUGGAGGUAUCAGAAGUGCGAAUGCUGACAUAAGUAACGAUAAAGCGGGUGAAAAGCCCGCUCGCCGGAAGACCAAGGGUUCCUGUCCAACGUUAAUCGGGGCAGGGUGAGUCGACCCCUAAGGCGAGGCCGAAAGGCGUAGUCGAUGGGAAACAGGUUAAUAUUCCUGUACUUGGUGUUACUGCGAAGGGGGGACGGAGAAGGCUAUGUUGGCCGGGCGACGGUUGUCCCGGUUUAAGCGUGUAGGUGUGUGUUCCAGGUAAAUCCGGUUCACUUUAACACUGAGGCGUGAUGACGAGGCACUACGGUGCUGAAGCAACAAAUGCCCUGCUUCCAGGAAAAGCCUCUAAGCAUCAGGUAACAUCAAAUCGUACCCCAAACCGACACAGGUGGUCAGGUAGAGAAUACCAAGGCGCUUGAGAGAACUCGGGUGAAGGAACUAGGCAAAAUGGUGCCGUAACUUCGGGAGAAGGCACGCUGACACGUAGGUGAAGUGAUUUACUCAUGGAGCUGAAGUCAGUCGAAG